CGAGCAGGCCACCUUAUCGCUCGUCCUUCGUGGACGGGAGGAAAGUCCGGACACCACAGUGCAGCAUAGCGGGUAACGCCCGUCCGCCGAGAGGUGAGGACCAGUGCAACAGAAAGCAAGUACAGUUCGGCUGUAGUGAAAUCAGGUAAACUCUAUGCGGUGAAACGCCAUGUACACCAGUGUUUGAGGGCGGCACGCCCGAAUUGGGGGGUAGGCGGCUAGAGCUUUCGGGUAACCGGAAGUCCAGAUAAAUGAUAAGGCUCGACAGAAUCCGGCUUAUGGCCUGCUUUUCUU
rnacentral:RNase_P_RNA from 1 species